GAGAUAACAGCAAGUUCUGUCUCUAAAGAUAAUUCGUACUUACUUUUUUUAUUACUGGAAAAAGGCUAGAAGGGGUGAGAGACACACGGGAGGAGAAUGAUGUUGUGAACAGAACCUGCAAAAAUUUCCCUGACUGACUCCUGAGAGUGCUGAGUCACUGCCUGCUGUAUCACCUCCUGAUUGGGCGAGUAUUCCUUCAAUCAAAGUCUGUGUCCCUGACUUCCUCUUCCAUCUGACUUCCUGUGUGUCUCACUUAGUUCUACCUAUUGCUACAGUACAAGUUAAAAUGAUUUUUCAAUGAAACAACAUUGAAUUAGCAAUUAACCACUAAGGAGCCGCAAUCCUUUGUGAGAUGCACAUUGUCCUGUUACUUCAAAGAGUUAUGAAGAUUAGUUUGUGUUUCUUUAGUCUGCUCUCCAGGCCUGCAUUGUCCUGGCAGAAAUUUUUGUAGUGAAUAAUGAUGCCUUACAUCAUAGACAUGGAUUUUCAGUGCUAUGGCUAAUUUAUCAAAGAGAACCCUGAUAUCGAUCACUUGCUACGAUAGCCAAAGAAUCUCCCUGCAUUUUCAUCCCGCAGAAGAUAUCAAUUUGUAUUGGAGAACUGAAGCCUGAAAAACUUCCAUUUGUGUUAUAUAUUUUUCACCCUUUCCUAGUGAAAUUUAUCUUCGGCUGUAGUUUUCCAACAUAAAAUAAUGAUAUUGCCUA